CCUAAGAAGAAAUUCUUAUCAAUUUUAUUUUAAGGGAGGCAUCGCUGUCUUUUCUGUUAUGCGACAGCAAGUGAAAUGAAAUGUGGUAAACAUGAAAAUCCUGAAAUAAAAGAUCGUACCUUGGAAGAUCUAUUUUCUGAUCAUAAAAAAUUUAUUGAAAGUGGAGGCUUAAAGAAAAAUGUUAAGAUUUUUAAUAAUGUCAUUGAAGAACCAAUUUUGAAAAUACCCCUUGAUCAAGUAUCUUUACUAAGUGGUAUCUUUACCAAGUCUCCACCUGGCUCUUGGUAUUUAUUUGAAUUUUUUUAAUUUGUUAAGAAGAAGUGCAUCAGCUAAAAACUUUAAUUGCUGCAGAAACAUUAAAAAGCAACAUUAAUUUUUCAGAAGAAUAUACAGUUUUUGUAUCAAAACAAAAACAGCAGUUAAAUCUUCAAGUUGAAAUUCUUAAACUUGACAAUCAAAUCCAUUUAACAAAUGAUUUUGUUUUGUAAGCAGCUGUUAACAAUUCUGAUAGUUUUGAAAAUAUUCAAUCUAAAUUCUUCACAGAAAUUGAGUUGCUUAAUAGUGAAAAAGCAAAAAAGACGACUCAAUAUAAUACUCUGCUUGGAAAGCAAUCAUUAGGGUUGGACCAGAGUCCAUACACAAAAAUGAUCGAGGCUAUACUGCAAAAGCUGAAAGUUCAACGUCAAGCGUAUCACGGAAGAAGUUUUGUGGGAAACCAUGUGCAUAAAAUGCUAAAAAAAUCUUCAAUACUUCAGCUAUGUAACUGUAUACCGAAGCUUGUUCAUGAAGAAGGAUAUUCAGGAACAAACGUGCACCUGUUAGCAGUUCAUAUUAGCAAUAAAUAUAAACAACUAUUUGAUAAAUUUGCCCAGUGCUACAAAAUAUUUCUUUCAAGAAGUAUAGUUACACCAAAAGAUUUAUUUCUUUUAAAAAAAAAUAUAAAAAGUUUAAUGCAGUUUUAUCGUGCGAAUUGGCCCAAGGCUUCAGUUACACCUAAGUUGCAUAUUUUAGAACAUCAUGCAGUUCGUUUUUGAAAAAAUGGGGAGCGGGAUUCGGCUUUUAUGGAGAACAAGGCGGAGAAUCGAUCCAUAUGGAGUUUAACAAACUCAAAACUAUUUAUCAAUCGAUUCCUUGCCCGACAAUCCGAUUAAAAAGUAUUCUCAAAUCUCAUUAUCAAAAAACUAACCCAGAGAAUAUUCGUCUUAAACCCCCUGUGAAAAAAAGAAUGUUUACUAAGAAAGUUACUAAAUGAUUUCGCCAAGAAAGGAGUAUCGAUUUAUCGAUCUCCUUAUUCAUAAAAUAUGUGUAACAAUUAAAAGCCUCCGAAAGAAGAACAAAGAAAAACGGCUAUUUUCAUAGUCACAAACAUAUUAAAAGCAUUAUUUAGUAUAAAAUAAAUUUUAAUCGGCGGUAAACAGUUUAUUGUUUUUUUAACACACCCAUGCAUACCAGACAUUGGAUAUUCAUUAGAAUCCCGUUGACUCGGAUCCUGGAUAAGUCAGACAGAUUUUCAAUUCUUCUUGAACUCUUUAUACAUUCCGAAAGUAUGCAUAUAGAGAACUCUUUAUACUUAACUCAGAUAUUAGCUAAGUAGACUAUCUAUUCCCCUCAAGACCUUUUAUUGAGUAACAUAUUCAAAUCACAGGGAAGGAAUUAGGAAAGUUAUUUGGCCCAGACCUUUAGUUGCAAAAGGGCUACAAAUGUUGAGAUCACAAAUCGAGGCUUUUUUUAGUCUUCAAAUACCCAUUUGGCUAACCAAGAGCACCAUGGAGAAUACCAUUUAAGAGAUUGACUCUCCUUUUUCAACCUUACCGAAAACGUUUUUGUGCCAAGGCGGGAAACAAAUCCGCGAAAUUGCGGGCACAGCCCAAAUGCUACGGUUGCUUAAUUUUUUGUCAAUAAAAUAGCAACAGUCUUAUUAUAA